rnacentral:misc_RNA from 1 species
AAGUCGUAACAAGGUUUCCGUAGGUGAACCUGCGGAAGGAUCAUUACCGAGAACGAAAGUUAGGCCUUCGGGUCGGCUUUCGCCUCCCCCCCCCCUCAUACCAUGUGAACGCGAACCCGUGGACGAACGUGAGAUUGUCUACGCUUCCGCAAAGAAAACGAAAAGCAAAACUUUCAACAACGGAUCUCUUGGCUCCG